rnacentral:rRNA from 1 species
CCUACGGGAGGCAGCAGUGAGGAAUAUUGGUCAAUGGGCGCAAGCCUGAACCAGCCAAGUCGCGUGAGGGAUGACGGUCCUAUGGAUUGUAAACCUCUUUUGUCGGGGAGCAAGGCCCGCCACGUAUGGCGGGAAGGAGAGUACCCGAAGACAAAACAUCGGCUAACUACGUGCCAGCAGCCGCGGUAAUACGGAGGAUGCGAGCGUUAUCCGGAUUGAUUGGGUUUAAGGGGCGCGUAGGCGGAAGGUUAGGUCAGCGGUCACAUGUCGGUGUCAAACACCGGCCUGCAGUUGAAACUGGUCUUCUUGAGUGAGCGAGAAGUAUGUGGAAUGCGUGGUGUAGCGGUGAAAUGCAUAGAUAUCACGCAGAACUCCGAUUGCGAAGGCAGCACACCGGCGCUCAACUGACGCUGAGGCACGAAAGCGUGGGGAUCGAACAGGAUUAGAUACCCCUGUAGUC